UACGGAGGGAGCUAGCGUUGUUCGGAAUUACUGGGCGUAAAGCGCACGUAGGCGGCUUUGUAAGUUAGAGGUGAAAGCCCGGGGCUCAACCCCGGAAUUGCCUUUAAGACUGCAUCGCUCGAAUCCGGGAGAGGUGAGUGGAAUUCCGAGUGUAGAGGUGAAAUUCGUAGAUAUUCGGGAGAACACCAGUGGCGAAGGCGGCUCACUGGACCGGUAUUGACGCUGAGGCGCGAAAGCCAGGGGAGCAAACGGG
rnacentral:rRNA from 1 species